rnacentral:pre_miRNA from 2 species
UAUGUAUUCUCCCCGUCUGAAAAUACUUGUCCUAUAAAUGAAUGUAUCUACUUAUUUUAAUGAUACAUACAUUCAUUUUAUAUAUUUUUAGGACAAGUAUUUUCGGACGAAGGAAGUAUUAU